rnacentral:rRNA from 1 species
GAUGAACGCUGGCGGCGUGCCUAAUACAUGCAAGUCGAACGAACAGACGAGAAGCUUGCUCCUCUGACGUUAGCGGCGGACGGGUGAGUAACACGUGCAUAACCUACCAAUAAUACGUGGAUAACUACGGAAAACCGGUUCCAAUACCGGCUCAUAUGUUGAACCGCAUGAUUCAAUAGUUAAAGACGGUUUUCCUGUCACUUAUAGAUGGAUCCGCGCCGCAUUAGCUAGUUGGUAAGGUACAGGCUUACCAAGGCAACGAUGCGUAGCCGACCUGAGAGGGUGAUCGGCCACACUGGAACUGAGACACGGUCCAGACUCCUACGGGAGGCAGCAGUGGGGAAUCUUCCGCAAUGGGCGAAAGCCUGACGGAGCAACGCCGCGUGAGUGAUGAAGGUCUUCGGAUCGUAAAACUCUUUUAUUAGGAAAGAACAAAUGUGUAAGUAACUAUGCACGUCUUGACGGUACCUAAAGAGAAAGCAACGGCUAACUACGUG